rnacentral:rRNA from 1 species
AACGAACGCUGGCGGCAUGCCUAACACAUGCAAGUCGAACGAAACCUUCGGGUCUAUGGGCGCUCGGGUGGGUAACGCGUGGGAACCUGCCCGUAGGUUCGCAAUAACUCCCCGAAAGGGGAGCUAAGAAAGGAGAAUGUCAUCGCACCAAGGAUUUGUUGCCGUUGGAUGGGCGCGCGUUGGAUUAGGUAGUUGGUAGUGUAAAAGCCUAUCAAGGCGACGAUCCUUAGCUGGUGGGAGAGGAUGAUCAGCCACACUGGAACUGCGACCCGGCCCAGACUCCUACGGGGGGGAGCAGUGGGGAAUAUUGGAGAAUGGACGAUGGCCUGAUCCAGCAACGCCGCGUGAGUGGUGAAGGCCUUAGGGUUGUAAAGCUGUUUUACCCGGGAUGAUAAUGACAGUACCGGGAGAAUAAGCACCGGCUAACUCCGUG